rnacentral:rRNA from 1 species
GAUGAACGCUGGCGGCGUGCCUAAUACAUGCAAGUCGAGCGAACAGACGAGGAGCUUGCUCCUUUGACGUUAGCGGCGGACGGGUGAGUAACACGUGGAUAACCUACCUAUCAGACUGGGAUAAUUUCGGGAAACCGGAGCUAAUACCGGAUAAUCUAUUGAACCGCAUGGUUCAAUAGUGAAAGUCGGUUUUGCUGUCACUUAUAGAUGGAUCCCGGCUGCUUUAGAUAGUUGGUAAGGUCACGGCUUACCAAGGCAACGAUGCGUAGCCGAGCUGAGGGGGUGAUCGGCCACCCGGGAACGGAGACAGGGUCCAGACUCCUGCGGUAGGCAGCAGUAGGGAAUCUUCCGCAAUGGGCGAGAGCUUGACAGAACAACGCCGCGUGAGUUAUGAAGGUCUUCGGAUCGGAAAACUCUGUUAUUAGGGAAGAACAAAUGUGUAAGUAACUAUGCACGUCUUGACGGUACCUAAUCAGAAAGCCACGGCUAACUACGUG